rnacentral:rRNA from 1 species
AUUGAACGCUGGCGGCAGGCUUAACACAUGCAAGUCGAACGGUAACAGAAGAGAGCUUGCUCUCUUGCUGACGAGUGGCGGACGGGUGAGUAAUGUCUGGGAAACUGCCUGAUGGAGAGGGAUAACUACUGGAAACGGUAGCUAAUACCGCAUAAUGUCGCAAGACCAAAUGAGGGGGACCUUCGGGCCUCUUGCCAUCGGAUGUGCCCAGAUGGGAUUAGCUUGUUGGUGAGGUAACGGCUCACCAAGGCGACGAUCCCUAGCUGGUCUGAGAGGAUGACCAGCCACACUGGAACUGAGACACGGUCCAGACUCCUACGGGAGGCAGCAGUGGGGAAUAUUGCACAAUGGGCGCAAGCCUGAUGCAGCCAUGCCGCGUGUAUGAAGAAGGCCUUCGGGUUGUAAAGUACUUUCAGCGGGGAGGAAGGUGUUGAGGUUAAUAACCUCAGCAAUUGACGUUACCCGCAGAAGAAGCACCGGCUAACUCCGUGCCAGCCGCCGCAGUAAAAC